rnacentral:rRNA from 1 species
CGCAUCUGUGCAUGCAGCAUAUCAAUAAGCGGAGGAAAAGAAACUAACAAGGAUUCCCCUAGUAACGGCGAAGUGAAGCGGGAAGAGCUCAAAUUUGAAAUCUUCAAGGUUUUACCUUGACGAAUUGUAGUUUAAAGAAGUGUUUUCUGUUGAAGUUUUGGUAAAAGUUCUUUGGAAUAGGACAUCAUAGAGGGUGAGAAUCCCGUAUUUGACCAUUAUUUUCAGCUGUGUGAUACACUUUCAAAGAGUCGGAUUGUUUGGGAAUGCAGUCCAAAAUGGGUGGUAAAUUUCAUCUAAAGCUAAAUAUUGGCGAGAGACCGAUAGCGAACAAGUACCGUGAGGGAAAGAUGAAAAGAACUUUGAAAAGAGAGUUAAACAGUACGUGAAAUUGUCAAAAGGGAAGCGUUUGACACCAGUGUUGUUUUCUCGAAAAUCAAUUAAAAAGAGUUUGAUUUUGUUGUGUAUUGACCUUAACAACUUGCAUUUCAAUUUUCUUGCUUUUUUUAAUGCACUUUUCGUUUAACAAGUCUACAUCAGUUUCUUUUGUUGUUAAAAAGGUCAUUGGAAGGUGGCUUUCUUUUCGGAGAAAGUGUUUAUAGCCUUUGACUCCUGCAAUCGGAGAGACUGAGGUCUGCAGCGUAGAUCCUUCGGGGUUAGAUACAUUUGUGCUAAGUUAUAGCUUUUUAUAGACAACUUGUUGACUAUGAUUAAUCUUGUAGCUUACUCGCUUAUGCUAUUUUACCUACGCUUAGGAUGUUGAUGUGAUACUGCGAGC